rnacentral:rRNA from 1 species
UACAGGGGGUGCAAACGUUGCUCGGAAUUAUUGGGCGUAAAGCGCGCGUAGGCGGUGACUCAAGUCGGAUGUGAAAGCCCUUGGCUUAACCGAGGAAGUGCAUCCGAAACUGAGUCGCUAGAGUACGAUAGAGGGUCGCGGAAUUCCCGGUGUAGAGGUGAAAUUCGUAGAUAUCGGGAGGAACACCGGUGGCGAAGGCGGCGACCUGGGUCGAUACGGACGCUGAGGCGCGAAAGCGUGGGGAGCAAACAGG